GAUGAACGCUGGCGGCGUGCCUAAUACAUGCAAGUCGAGCGAACGGACGAGAAGCUUGCUUCUCUAAUGUUAGCGGCGGACGGGUGAGUAACACGUGGAUAACCUACCUAUAAGACUGAGAUAACUUCGGGAAACCGUAGCUAAUACCGGAUAAUAUUUUGAACCGCAUGGUUCAAAAGUGAAAGACGGUCUUGCUGUCACUUAUAGAUGGAUCCGCGCUGCAUUAGCUAGUUGGUAAGGUAACGGCUUACCAAGGCAACGAUGCAUAGCCGACCUGAGAGGGUGAUCGGCCACACUGGAACUGAGCCACGGUCCAGACUCCUACGGGAGGCAGCAGUCGGGAAUCUUCCGCAAUGGGCGAAAGCCUGACGGAGCAACGCCGCGUGAGUGAUGAAGGUCUUCGGAUCGUAAAACUCUGUUAUUAGGGAAGAACAUAUGUGUAAGUAACUGUGCACAUCUUGACGGUACCUAAUCAGAAAGCCACGGCUAACUACGUG
rnacentral:rRNA from 1 species